rnacentral:lncRNA from 1 species
AUGGCGGCGGUGGCGCCUGGAAGCGGGGCUUCCCGGGAGGAGGAGGGCACCGGUGGGGACGCAGCCACGCCGCAGCCCCCAGCCCCGACGAGUGCGCCCGGAGCUCGUCUCUCGAGGCUGCCUCUGGCGCGAGUGAAGGCCUUGGUGAAGGCGGACCCCGACGUGACUCUCGCGGGACAGGAAGCCAUCUUCAUUCUGGCACGCGCCGCGGUGCGGCUGGGGCACAAUGGGGCGGGGAUGGGGCGGGGAUGGGGCGGUGCACGGUGCGUGGCGACGGGCGGGGCUCGGGGCUUCUCCGAAGGGCGGGGCUUAGCGAUCCUUUGGUCCUGGCUUGGGGAGCGUCGGGAGCGUAGGGCGGGGUGUUCUGAGGCCCGGGAGGUGAGAAAAAUGCUAGGGCGGAUUCUGAGAUGGAACUGUUUGUGGAAACCAUUGCAAAAGAUGCCUACUGUUGUGCUCAACAAGGGAAGAGGAAAACUCUUCAGAGGAGAGAUUUGGGUAGAGUGUCACUGUGGUAUCUUGGAUCUGGAGGCAGACAAGGGAGGCCUGGGCUGGGCCCGUCGAGGCUUUCCCUUAUGCCAGUCGAGAUGGCAUCACUAUAGGAUGAGAGAUAAUGCAAUAGAAGCUGUGGAUGAAUUUGCUUUUCUGGAAGGCAUCAGCACGGUUGCUCCAAAGGAGUGCAGUGCUAGAACCAGAAGGGCUAAAUUGGGUACCUCGUGGAGGCGGGGGCCUGUGGUUGGGUGGUCCUGGCAUCAGGCGGAGCUAUAGGCUGCUG